GUUCUUCUUCGUUUAACAUCGUUGUCUCUACCAAACAAUCUAAUGGGUGACAAGAAGAAGGCUGGUGCUCUAUUCGUGAGGCUUGUUUCAAAUGCUGGAACUGGAUUUUUCUAUGUGAAGAAGAAGACCAAAACUCUUAUAACGAAUCAGACGAAGCUUGAAUUUAGAAAGUUUGAUCCUCGAGUGAAUUGUCAUGUUCUCUUCAAGGAAGAAAAGAUGAAGUGAUGCAAACGCCAAACUUUUUGCCAAAUCCUCUUUUUAACGGUUCUUUCAUUUUUGCAGCAGCCACUCAGUUGUGAAAUUAGACAACAGGACCUUUUGCUCACUUGUGCUACCACAAUUAAGUAAGUUUGUUUAGUUCUAUUUAUGCAAUUCUCUGAGUUCGUUCGUGAUCAUGUUGAAUGAAUAUAGUUAUAGAAGAGUGACUUUGGACGAACAAUUCCAUCAAUUUACAUGUAUGAUUCUUAAGGUCGAUUU
rnacentral:misc_RNA from 1 species